GGGUUGUGAGGUUAAGCGACUAAGCGUACACGGUGGAUGCCCUGGCAGUCAGAGGCGAUGAAGGACGUGCUAAUCUGCGAUAAGCGUCGGUAAGGUGAUAUGAACCGUUAUAACCGGCGAUUUCCGAAUGGGGAAACCCAGUGUGUUUCGACACACUAUCAUUAACUGAAUCCAUAGGUUAAUGAGGCGAACCGGGGGAACUGAAACAUCUAAGUACCCCGAGGAAAAGAAAUCAACCGAGAUUCCCCCAGUAGCGGCGAGCGAACGGGGAGGAGCCCAGAGCCUGAAUCAGUGUGUGUGUUAGUGGAAGCGUCUGGAAAGGCGCGCGAUACAGGGUGACAGCCCCGUACACAAAAAUGCACAUGCUGUGAGCUCGAUGAGUAGGGCGGGACACGUGGUAUCCUGUCUGAAUAUGGGGGGACCAUCCUCCAAGGCUAAAUACUCCUGACUGACCGAUAGUGAACCAGUACCGUGAGGGAAAGGCGAAAAGAACCCCGGCGAGGGGAGUGAAAAAGAACCUGAAACCGUGUACGUACAAGCAGUGGGAGCACGCUUAGGCGUGUGACUGCGUACCUUUUGUAUAAUGGGUCAGCGACUUAUAUUCUGUAGCAAGGUUAACCGAAUAGGGGAGCCGAAGGGAAACCGAGUCUUAACUGGGCGUUAAGUUGCAGGGUAUAGACCCGAAACCCGGUGAUCUAGCCAUGGGCAGGUUGAAGGUUGGGUAACACUAACUGGAGGACCGAACCGACUAAUGUUGAAAAAUUAGCGGAUGACUUGUGGCUGGGGGUGAAAGGCCAAUCAAACCGGGAGAUAGCUGGUUCUCCCCGAAAGCUAUUUAGGUAGCGCCUCGUGAAUUCAUCUCCGGGGGUAGAGCACUGUUUCGGCAAGGGGGUCAUCCCGACUUACCAACCCGAUGCAAACUGCGAAUACCGGAGAAUGUUAUCACGGGAGACACACGGCGGGUGCUAACGUCCGUCGUGAAGAGGGAAACAACCCAGACCGCCAGCUAAGGUCCCAAAGUCAUGGUUAAGUGGGAAACGAUGUGGGAAGGCCCAGACAGCCAGGAUGUUGGCUUAGAAGCAGCCAUCAUUUAAAGAAAGCGUAAUAGCUCACUGGUCGAGUCGGCCUGCGCGGAAGAUGUAACGGGGCUAAACCAUGCACCGAAGCUGCGGCAGCGACACUAUGUGUUGUUGGGUAGGGGAGCGUUCUGUAAGCCUGUGAAGGUGUGCUGUGAGGCAUGCUGGAGGUAUCAGAAGUGCGAAUGCUGACAUAAGUAACGAUAAAGCGGGUGAAAAGCCCGCUCGCCGGAAGACCAAGGGUUCCUGUCCAACGUUAAUCGGGGCAGGGUGAGUCGACCCCUAAGGCGAGGCCGAAAGGCGUAGUCGAUGGGAAACAGGUUAAUAUUCCUGUACUUGGUGUUACUGCGAAGGGGGGACGGAGAAGGCUAUGUUGGCCGGGCGACGGUUGUCCCGGUUUAAGCGUGUAGGCUGGUUUUCCAGGCAAAUCCGGAAAAUCAAGGCUGAGGCGUGAUGACGAGGCACUACGGUGCUGAAGCAACAAAUGCCCUGCUUCCAGGAAAAGCCUCUAAGCAUCAGGUAACAUCAAAUCGUACCCCAAACCGACACAGGUGGUCAGGUAGAGAAUACCAAGGCGCUUGAGAGAACUCGGGUGAAGGAACUAGGCAAAAUGGUGCCGUAACUUCGGGAGAAGGCACGCUGAUAUGUAGGUGAAGUCCCUCGCGGAUGGAGCUGAAAUCAGUCGAAGAUACCAGCUGGCUGCAACUGUUUAUUAAAAACACAGCACUGUGCAAACACGAAAGUGGACGUAUACGGUGUGACGCCUGCCCGGUGCCGGAAGGUUAAUUGAUGGGGUCAGCGCAAGCGAAGCUCUUGAUCGAAGCCCCGGUAAACGGCGGCCGUAACUAUAACGGUCCUAAGGUAGCGAAAUUCCUUGUCGGGUAAGUUCCGACCUGCACGAAUGGCGUAAUGAUGGCCAGGCUGUCUCCACCCGAGACUCAGUGAAAUUGAACUCGCUGUGAAGAUGCAGUGUACCCGCGGCAAGACGGAAAGACCCCGUGAACCUUUACUAUAGCUUGACACUGAACAUUGAGCCUUGAUGUGUAGGAUAGGUGGGAGGCUUUGAAGUGUGGACGCCAGUCUGCAUGGAGCCGACCUUGAAAUACCACCCUUUAAUGUUUGAUGUUCUAACGUUGACCCGUAAUCCGGGUUGCGGACAGUGUCUGGUGGGUAGUUUGACUGGGGCGGUCUCCUCCUAAAGAGUAACGGAGGAGCACGAAGGUUGGCUAAUCCUGGUCGGACAUCAGGAGGUUAGUGCAAUGGCAUAAGCCAGCUUGACUGCGAGCGUGACGGCGCGAGCAGGUGCGAAAGCAGGUCAUAGUGAUCCGGUGGUUCUGAAUGGAAGGGCCAUCGCUCAACGGAUAAAAGGUACUCCGGGGAUAACAGGCUGAUACCGCCCAAGAGUUCAUAUCGACGGCGGUGUUUGGCACCUCGAUGUCGGCUCAUCACAUCCUGGGGCUGAAGUAGGUCCCAAGGGUAUGGCUGUUCGCCAUUUAAAGUGGUACGCGAGCUGGGUUUAGAACGUCGUGAGACAGUUCGGUCCCUAUCUGCCGUGGGCGCUGGAGAACUGAGGGGGGCUGCUCCUAGUACGAGAGGACCGGAGUGGACGCAUCACUGGUGUUCGGGUUGUCAUGCCAAUGGCACUGCCCGGUAGCUAAAUGCGGAAGAGAUAAGUGCUGAAAGCAUCUAAGCACGAAACUUGCCCCGAGAUGAGUUCUCCCUGACCCUUUAAGGGUCCUGAAGGAACGUUGAAGACGACGACGUUGAUAGGCCGGGUGUGUAAGCGCAGCGAUGCGUUGAGCUAACCGGUACUAAUGAACCGUGAGGCUUAACCUUACAACGCCGAAGCUGUU
rnacentral:rRNA from 1 species